ensembl:lncRNA
GGAAGACUACAGACUACACCCCAGCUGAACCAAUCCAAAGAUCCGAUCUUCCAGAAUCAACCUACUUUCUGUUCUAUAUAUAAGUGGUGUAUUGAUUGUAACGGUCUCUUUGCCUGCAGUUCCGUACGAACCAGCGGAGGAGCCGUAUUUACGCUGUUCUAGAUAUCUUCACUCUGAAUAAACUGUCGCUUGUCAUACAAUUUACCACCUUGUCUGAAUCGAUCCUUGACCGACUCGCCCGUCUACAUAUCUAAUUUCUAACAGAACUUGGUAGGCAGAGGAUGGUUUACUAACGAUCCAGUCGAAGUGAGUUGAUUUGGGUGUGAGAAGGCGAGUUGGUGAAAGGACGGUUCACGGAGGACGGGUGAAGACUUUCGGGGGAGGACAACAAUUCUGCUCAACUCGGAAAACUGAUCUCAAGGUGCACCAUAAAAAAGGUAGGCAAAGCCUGUUAAAUCAAACUUUGCAUAUUGUCGUAUAGUCUGUCCAAAUUUUGAUCAGUUUUUUUUCCGAGUAAGUAUGAAUUCUUGUGUAAAUUUAUAAUUUGCUGACGAGUCGAAAGAACAGUGUAUGUGAACAUAUGUAGUAACGAACCGGCGACGGCCGGUGUGAUUUAAAUCAUUGAUGAGAUAUCAGUAAGGGGAUAGCUAAUUACUAUUCAUUAAAUCUGGCGCCGAGGGGACAAAUUGUAAUUUUGGGACCCGUGACCCGGUCAGCACAGUCUGCUAGCUUUCAAUGAUGAGUGAUCACUUUUAAGGCCUGGAUAGUUCCGAUAGGGGUCGGGAAUAGAGAUCAGUAGGGGAUAGCUAAUUACUAUUCAUCAAAUCUGGCGCCGAGGGGACAAAUUGUAAUUUUGGGACCCGUGACCCGGUACGGCCAGUCUGAUAGAGAUUCACCGAUAGGGGUCGGACAUGUGUGAUAAUUCUGAUAGGGGUCAGCUCGAUAGGGAUCAGGAAUAGAGAUCAGUAGGGGAUAGCUAAUUACUAUUCAUCAAAUCUGGCGCCGAGGGGACAAAUUGUAAUUUUGGGACCCGUGACCCGGUACGGCCAGUCUGAUAGAGGUUCACUGAUAAGGAUCGGCUUUCAGGGGUCAGAGAUAUAACGUGUUGUUUUGUCUUGUUUUGUCUAUUUGUAACUGUUUAUGUUAAAAUGCAAUGUGCUUGUAAUUGUUUCCAUUAAGAUUGUUGGUGGUUAGAUAGAGGGAGAGAGAGAAUUAUAAUAAGGGGUAUUGGAUAAAUCCGAAACUUCUAUAUUGUAUGUACCUAUGUUAAUAGGUACAUGUAUAAAUGUAUAAUCAGGAACGAAAUGACUGAUGUAUAAUUGAAAUAAUAUCUGAAUAUAAUAUUUAAAUAUUGAGACUAAAUAGUCGAAUAGAUCCCUUGGUUGUGCGCUCCACAAAUGCAAUACCAACCCAUGCGUUUUUUCUCAACCUGAAUAUUCGAAGGAGAAGCUCUGAGAUAAGGCAGAGUACGAGCAAUAGUGUCUUCGAAUACAUCGUGGGUAUUAAUCAACGUCGGGCGAAGUAUAUGCUAACUAUAUUCAGAUGGAAGGAGAGAAUUUCGAUUAAAACUACGAUUAAAUUCCGAUUGAAUUAAAUUAAAUUACGUUUAAAGCAAAUUCACAAUGGCGACCCCCAAUACUCCAAAGCUGAGGUUUAAUGAGUUCCUAGAACAAAAAAUAGAAUAUAGAUCAGGGGGAGAAGUACAAUGGAAGAAUAUAAAGAAAGUUUGGGAGGGAUUGAAGUUAAGAUGGACACAAGCAGGUUAUCUAGCAGGGGGCCGCCGACAGGGGCCCAGCUGACAACGAUGGAAUGUGAGUUGAGAGGGACGUUGCAGGAGGCCAGAGACAAGGAAGUAGAAAAGAACAAAAAUCACAUAUUUAAGAAAAAAGGGACUAAACGGAGAGAAAGGGCAGAAGUGGAACUGAAGAUAGGAACUUGGGCCAUCGAAGAGACGCUAAGAACACAACUGAAUAAAAAAACGGAAA